GGCUUCCAUGAUGCCCCUCCUCGGCGCAUUCAUUGCUGAUUCGUAUCUGGGCCGGUAUCGGACGAUCGUCUGUGCCUCGCUGCUCUAUGUUCUGGGUUUGGGCAUGCUGACUCUAUCCUCUGCGCUGCCUGCUUUGCGACCGCCCAAAUGCAAUGACACCGUGGACCCCACAGCCUGCCUACCCACACAAUUCCAGGUUGCCUUCUUCUACGUAUCCCUAUACUUCAUGGCAUUUGC
rnacentral:misc_RNA from 1 species